CUCUUUUUAACUACCUUGCAGCCUUAUUGUUUUCUAAUAGAAACUGUUUACUGUGAAAUUCUAAAUCACAGUGUUUCAAAGACAGUGGUUUUACGUGUAAUAUACAUUAUGUUUCAGAUAGAAUUUCACUUACGAUUUUUUUUAAUUAUAAAAGAAUGCACACCAGCAGCAAUGCUUUGUUGACCUUUUUCAGAGCCAUGAAGUUGACCAACCUGUAGAAAUAAUUCAAAUUCUACUUGUUUAUAGAUUAAAGCAAACUAAUAUUAAAAACUAAAUAUUAAAUGCAAAACUUAAAAAAAAAAAAAGAACCCAACAAACAAAUCAAUCAGACAAAAAACCCUCACUAGAUUAAAUAACAUGGAAUUUCCUGUAAGUGUCUUAUGAAGUAGUGCUAUGUAAAGCUGUUCAUAUAGCUUCAUAUAUAGCAUUUUCAUGAUUAUUUUCUUUUCAGCUCCUGUGUUUGGUGACCCUUUGGAAGUAUGGACUAGGUGAGCCACCUGGCUCCAUUGGAACUUGGAAGGUAUACAUAUAUAGUCAGUGGUCCAAAGCACAGUGAUGUAAGACCGAAGUCUUUCUGCCAGUACCAAGAAUGAACAAGCUAAACCUGCGUUUCCCCCCUGCUGAAGUAUGUAAAUCCACGAUGUCAGAGGGCAAUGUUGGUGGUAUGGCAGUAGAAAUUGAACCCUCCCUCCAGUAUUUCAUUACAUUUUAUUGCCGUGCAACAGAUGGCAGCAGAGGGACUGUCUGACACAAUGGCAUCUGACUUGGAAGUGUGUAUGAAGAAAAGAUGUAUCACUGAAUUCCUCCAUGCAAAAAAAAAAAAAAAAAGGGGGGGGGGGAAAAGGGAAG
ensembl:lncRNA